GCGGGGAUAGCUCAGUUGGGAGAGCGUCAGACUGAAGUCCAACUUCGGGAUCAUGGCAUCUGAAGGUCGUGCGUUCGAUCCGCACUCACCGCA
rnacentral:tRNA from 1 species